AUUAGCUCAGGGGCAUUGCUCAGCACAUCGAGACUUGCUGCAACAUAGGAUUUGGUGGGUUUACUCCCAAGUCUCGGACGUCGGUAACGAUGGAGGAAGAGGUCGUUACAAGGAUAAUGACAAAUGCCAUUUAUGUGGCAUACUAGGACAUCGAAGGCUCAAUUGCAAGGAUUAUAUUGAAUCCAUCCAAGAGAAGAAACAAAAAGAAGCUUCCACUUUAGGAAUUAAUGACAAGAAGUAGUGAAGAAUAGGAUCGUGAAGGGGAC